UACGUAGGGUGCGAGCGUUAAUCGGAAUUACUGGGCGUAAAGCGUGCGCAGGCGGUCCGCCAAGUCUGAUGUGAAAGCCCCGGGCUCAACCUGGGAACUGCAUUGGAAACUAACGGGCUCGAGUGUGGCAGAGGGGGGUGGAAUUCCACGUGUAGCAGUGAAAUGCGUAGAGAUGCGGAGGAACACCGAUGGCGAAGGCAGCCCCCUGGGCUAACACUGACGCUCAGGCACGAAAGCGUGGGGAGCAAACAGG
rnacentral:rRNA from 1 species